rnacentral:lncRNA from 1 species
UGGAUUUAUUUUGGCAUGGAGAGAAUUGAUGGCGCACGCAUGAGGGAUUGAAGUCGCAUGACUCUUCGCAUGAAGAGUCCCUCUGCCAUAGAGCAGAAAAAGGCACCCCUUGCUGAUAAGCCUCUAUUCUAAAUUUAAACUAACAUGAGAACUUACAGGAAAGGUUUUAGAUUUAUCUGAAAUGGAAAGGAUGCUAGAGAUGCCGGU